CAGCUGAGUUCAGUUCAAGUGCCAGCCUAGUGGCCUUAUCUAUGGAGAAGUGCUGGGCAUGCCGGGCGUCACUGUUAACGCGAGACGUUCUUUUCGGGCCCACCUCGCAUGGCAGUGGCAAGUGGGCCAAAAGGGGGGCUCUUUAGGCCAAGCGUAAUUGGAGUAGGCAAAUACCAACGCACUUAUCUUGGCCCAAAAGAGCUGCUUCCAUUUGCUUAUGGCGCUGCAAGAGCAAACUCCCAUUGCCCGCAAAUCACAAAGCAAUAUUAUUGACACUUCGGCUUGAAAGGAGCAAACCACUUCCAUUUGUCAUCGGGCCUAUUAAACACUUUUCAUGUUUUCCAAUUUCACAUUUUCUUUGGUAAAAUAAAUAAAUGAUUUUUGUAGAUAUUUUUUCCUAA